rnacentral:rRNA from 1 species
AGCAGUCGCCGCGGGAAUACGCAGGUGGCAAGCGUUGUCCGGAAUUAUUGGGCGUAAAGGGUGCGUAGGCGGCUUGACAAGUCUUGUGUGAAGUCUAUGGGCUCAACCCAUAGUCUGCACGGGAAACUGUCGGGCUUGAGAAUGGGAGAGGUGAGUGGAAUUUCCGGUGUAGCGGUGAAAUGCGUAGAUAUCGGAAGGAACACCUGUGGCGAAAGCGGCUCACUGGACCAUUUCUGACGCUGAUGCACGAAAGCUAGGGGAGCAAACAGGAUUAGAGACCCCCGUAGUCCCUGUCUCUUAUAC